AAAAAGGUAAGCUAAUCACAAGCUAAUGGGUUCAUACCCCAUAAAUAGGAGCAUCCUCCUUUUUA
rnacentral:tRNA from 1 species